UACGUAGAAGGCAAGCGUUGUCCGGAUUUACUGGGCGUAAAGAGCGCGUAGGCGGCUAGGCUCGUCCGCCGUGAAAUCUCCCCGCUUAACGGGGAGGGGCCGGUGGAGUACGGUCUAGCUUGAGGACGGUAGAGGCAGGUGGAAUUCCCGGAGGAGCGGUGAAAUGCGUAGAGUUCGGGAGGAACACCAGAGGCGAAAGCGGCCUGCUGGGCCGGUCCUGACGCUGAGGCGCGAAGGCGUGGGGAGCAAACAGG
rnacentral:misc_RNA from 1 species